CAAAUCAGCUGUCAUUCCAGAAAGAAGUGUUGUUGUUACUGCACAUAAUGAAGCUCUACUUUCUUCUUCUUUUCUUAUUAGCAACUCCACUGUAUGUCUACGCGAGUGUUCAGCUUGUGGAAUCCGGACCAGGAACACUGAAGCCUGGGCAAACUCUCAGACUAACUUGCACCGUCACUGGGGAUUCAGUGAACAACAACUACUGGGAUUGGAUCCGUCAGGCUCCUGGGAAAGGGCUGGAAUGGCUCGGCAGGAUAGAUUGGAGUAGUGGUACAUGGCGCAAACGCUAUGCCUCCACUCACCAAAGCCGAGCCACGCUCUCUGCCGAUGCAGCCAAAAAUGAGUAUUAUCUUGAGCUGAGGUCCCUGACAGCGGCAGACACCGCCACAUAUUACUGUGCCCGAAGAACACAGUGA